rnacentral:sRNA from 1 species
GAUUUAUGGUAGCUAAAGCAUGGUUUUGGCAGAAGGUUGGCCAUUAGAAGCCUAUCAUGACUCAAAUUGAACGCCGGUCCGUUCGUAUUUGGAAGCCCCAGCAUUGCUCGGCCGGGCCGGAUUGCUAAAACUGCCUGUCUGGUUUCGCUAGCUCGGUGGCGUUCGUGAUUGAAGGAUUUCACAAAUCCAUCGGGCGUUGGAUCGAAGGUCAAGUUUUUUUUAAGCUUGUCCUGAUGAAGUCUAUCCUUCUCGAGGAAUGGACGAGCUGGCAUUCGAAGGAGAUUGAAGCAUAGCGAGUGAGUUCACUGUUCAAUGGAUGUUCUUUAUUACAAUUAUUUUUCCAACCUAUAUUGCGGAGACAUUGUCGUGAUUUUACAAAUGGAGAAAAAAGGGAGAGCUCUUUCGCAAAGAAAACCCAUUUUUGUAACAUUUUCCACACAUGUUAUUCUCUCCACCAAGGGAAGGAGAAAGCAAUAAAUGUGACAUCAGUAAAAAAGCCAUCGUAUCCCUCGCAUCCAUAUCGAAAAAAAAAAAAUGAAAAGAAAGUAAAGUAAAAAAAAAAAACCCCUUUGACCUAUUUUAGGAUCACUUCCCCAUGAUCCAUUCAUCAUACAACGACACGUCUGCUCCGAACCAAAGCCAAAGUCAAACCGAACCAACCCCUCAGGUCCCGCCAUUCCCGAAAUUGAUAUAAAUUUAAGAGAUGUCUGGGUGCGUUUGAGUAAACAGAAGGAAGAAGAAUUCCAGCCAUUCGUCCAUCCACCUGCUUCCGUAAAGUACACGAUAGUUUCAAAGUACAACCAACGAAUGGCAUGAGACGAGGAAAAAAUAAAAGAAAAAGAAAAGCCAAUGGGUAUGGGAGAAGGGUAAUAUGCAAGAUAACUCGGAUUUUGUUGUUUGAAAACACAUUAUGGGAUUAAAACGAGUGGAUUACCUCAUAUACGAAAACCAUCCUCUUUUUGAAGAUGUAACUUUUUUGUCAUAGCACGUAACACGAUGUAGCGACACCCGGAACGCCAGCGACGAUGGUGUAUAGGGGUCAUUUGGCAAAAGCACACCGUGUUAAACAAACGAAAUGUUAGACAUUUCAUGUGGAUUUGGCAAAGAGAUUGAUGAUCGAGUUGGUGUUUCGAAGAUUGGCAUUUAUCUUGUAGAAUUUUACCCAACAGCGACCCCUUUGGUGUUCUGGAAUAAGGUGUAUAGGUACAUUACGCAUGUUGUAUUCUUGUGGCCCAGGUCAGGUGUAGGG